UAAAUAACACAUUGGUCUCAAGACAUUGGUACACUAUACGUUACAACACUUGCCGUCAGUACUCAAAAUUGGAAAAAUAUUAAAUAAGAAGGUUGCCAGCAAGAUGAAAAGAACAAUGCAGUUCAAAAGUCAAAAUGUGGAUAAGCUGAGAUACAAGGUCCUACUUUUGCAGAUUUUCAUAUUUUGCAUGAAUGAAUUUGAAGUUUAUAUCAUGGAGGGCAGAGAAAGAAAAGAAACACUUCAAUUUUCCUGCUUCUGAAGAAUAAAUGUAAAACAUCUUGUUCGAAGGAUUAAAAUUCAUCACUUAAAAUAAAAGGAGAAAACACAGAAACAAGACCAGAAUAAAUUCAAAGACAAAUGUCAGAUCAGUUAUUAUUUUCAUCACUCAGUCAAUGAAUCGAAGUUCUAUUAAAUAUCUAAAGAUAUUAAAACCACAAUAAUGACAAUGUUCUGUGCUGAAUGGCCAAAAAGUGGACUAUACACUAAGAUCACACAAUGCUGGAUGAUAAGAAACUAUUAAUUUUUUGGAUGGAGGGAUAUCCUGAAAAAAAAUUAGAUUUAUGUAAAAAGCUACUAGUAUGUUAAGCCUAAUAAUAGAGUUUUCAUUGAUUCCAAAUGGGAAAAAAUUGUGUUUCAAAAAAGUAUUCUAGAAUUCAUAAAUAAACAUAUAUUGAUACUUA